rnacentral:ncRNA from 1 species
CUAAAAACUGUGAUGGGAAGAAGUAAGGAAAAGAAGAACCUACAGAAAGCAGCCGGCAGAUGAGAGGCGCAGGAGAUACUUUCCCGAAUACAUCCCGGAGUUUCGCACCCAAAUCGUUAAGAGAGUAGGCUGCGACGGAAAGCAACCGUUAUCCUGCGAAGAGUAUCGCUGAUGUUGGCCGGACUGCAGGCCGGAGACAGGACAGUCGUACUCGAAGAGGCAGACAGUGUGAGCUGGCUGCGAAUGAAGGUGGUAACACGGGUAACAGACACUCGUCCUUUUU